CAGCGGAUGGUUCAUUUGGGAGCCAUAUUGGAUUCAGACCUACAGAGAGUUCUCUUACCAGAGAAGAAAAUAGUCAAGGUGCAGGUCAUGGCUCAGGAAGCGUUGCAAGCCCAGACAAUGUCAGUCCAUGCAGCAAUGCGGCUGUUGGGUCUGAUGGUAUCAACGUUCGACAUGGUGGAAUAUGCGCAAUUCCACUCCAGACCAUUGCAGCAUCUCAUUUUGACAAAAUGGAACGGAAAUCAUCAAACAAUAAAGAAGCAGAUGAUAAAGAUUCCAGUAAAUGUAAAAAGGUCUCUAGCAUGGUGGCUACAGACAGACCAUUUAAACAAGGGGAGACCCUUUUGGAUAAGAGUGGCAAGUCCUGACGACAGAUGCCAGCCUGCAAGGUUGGGGGGCGGUACUCGGAAGCCUAUGGUUCCAAGGAAAAUGGACCGCAAGGGAAAGUCGCCUGCCGAUAAAUCUGUUAGAAAUAAGAGCCAUUUACUUGGCCCUAGUUCAGGCAAAGGACAAUCUACAAGGAAGACCAGUCCAGAUCCGCUCAGACAAUGCGACGGCAGUAGCAUACCUAAAUCAUCAAGGAGGGACUCACAGCAAGAGUCUGAUGGAGGAAGUAACUCCCAUUCUAAAGUGGGCAGAACUCCAUCUCCCAGCAUUGUCAGCAGUAUUUGUCCCGGGUGUACUAAAUUGGGAAGCGGAUUUUCUCAGUCGGCACACCAUUCAGGAAACCGAAUGGGCACUACACCCAGAAGUGUUUCAAACACUGGUGAACAGAUGGGGUCUACCGGAGAUAGACCUUAUGGCGUCUCGUCUAAACAACAAAGUUCCGAGGUACGGAUCAAGAACAAGGGACCCAGGAGCAGUCCUGGUAGACGCACUGUCAGUAGAAUGGAGGUUUCAGCUGGCAUAUCUGUUCCCUCCAAUAUCUCUGUUACCCAGAGUAGUGAGAAAGAUAAAACAGGCAAAAGGAGCAAUCAUUCUAAUAGCUCCAGCUUGGCCAAGAAGGCAUUGGUACACAGAUCUGUGGAGAAUGUCCGUGGAAGCACCGAUACUGCUCCCUCAACGUUCAGAUCUGUUAAUGCAGGGUCCUUGUCACAGUCAUCUGGAUCGCCUGUCUUUGACGGCGUGGCUGUUGAAACCUCUAUCUUAGAGGCUAAAGGAUUUUCAAAGCAAGUAAUCCAAACCAUGCUUAGAGCAAGAAAGCCUUCUUCGGCCCAUGUAUAUCAUAGAAUAUGGCAAGCCUAUAUUCAUUGGUGUUCUGGAAAAAAUUACAAUCCAAGAGCCUUUAAAGUAGCUAGAAUUUUGGAUUUUCUGCAGGCAGGAUUGGAUAAGGGGUUGAAGGUUGCUUCCUUGAGGGUGCAAGUCUCAGCGUUGACUGUAUGGUUUCAGCAGAAGAUUGCUGACCUACAGGAUGUACGUACUUUUUUCCAAGGAGUAGUACAUAUUCAACCUCCCAUUUGUUCCUCCUGCAGCUCCCUGGGAUUUGAAUUUAGUUCUUAAAUUUCUCCAGGGUCCUUUGUUUGAACCACUUGAGAGAGCAGAUCUUAAGUAAUUAACGGUUAAAGUUCUUUUUUUACUGGCAAUGGCGUCAGCCAGAAGAGUGUCAGAUUUAGGAGCAUUAUCAUGUAAGUCUCCUUUCCUAAGUUUUUUUCCAGACAGAGCAGUUCUCAGAACGAGAUCUAGUUAUCUUCCAAAGGUGGUGUCAAAGUUUCACCUGAAUGAAGAGAUUGUAGUCCCAGCUUUUCAGGUAUCGGGACUAUCUGCGGGAGAAGCGUCACUGGACGUGGUCCGGUCUUUAAAAACCUACAUAGAUCGUACUAGUGCCAUCAGGAAAACAGAUUCCCUCUUCAUCCUCUACGGAUUCCAUAGGAGAGGUUGGCCUGCUAGUAAACAGACGCUGGCGAGAUGGCUCCGAAUGGUAAUAUCUGAAGCUUAUUCUCAUGCAGAUCUCCCUAUUCCGGCUAAUGUCUCUGCACACUCUACACGUAAGGUAGGUCCUUCUUGGGCAGCACAACAGGGUGCAUCAGCAGAACAGAUAUGUAAGGCAGCCACAUGGUCUUCCAUAAACACAUUCAUCAGACAUUAUGCCUUGGAUACUUUUGCCUCUCAUGACGCAGACUUCGGGCGAAAGGUCCUCCUGUGCAAUCAGGAGCGUCCCCACCACUAAAAUGGCUUUGGGAAUCCCAAUGUUAUCCUGUGGAUAAUCCUGUGGACCCAGCCAGAGAAAUGAACGUUAUGGUAAGAACUUACCGUUGAUAACGUGAUUUCUCUUAUGUCCACAGGGAUCCCACCCGGACGCAUCUGAUUUGAGGAUCUAGACAAACACUAAAAACCUCUUCCUUCUUGUAUGGAAGGGUGUGCAUGUGUGUUCUUAUCACCUGUACAGGUCUCUACCUAAUGUUCCUGCCUAUAAUCGCUGUGGAAAGAACUGAUCUGACUGAAUCAGUGGGCGGGACUAUAUAGUGGAGGCCCCAAUGCAUCCUGGGAGGCCAGAAAGCUCGUGACCGUGUUGGUGCCAUUUUCGCUGUCGCUCGACAAUAUCCCAAUGUUAUCCUGUGGAUACCUGUGGACAUAAGAGAAAUCACGUUAUCAACGGUAUGGAUUUGUGGAGUUUGAGGACUCGCGGGAUGCUGAUGAUGCCGUAUUUGAGUUGAAUGGAAAAGACCUAUGUGGAGAGCGUGUGAUUGUUGAGCUUGCUCGAGGACCGCGGCGGGACAGGGAUGGAUACAGCUUUGGAAGUCGCAAGACCAGUGGGGGCUGAGACCAUUGAGGCUUAAGAUGACUGCCUUUCCUGGUUGGCCUUUCCAAACAUUGUGUGACCCUUGCCCUAUGACCCUUUGGCUGACCUUACCGGAAGCCAUGACGACAGCAGCCUAUUGCCAUUAGACGCAGGGUGAUGGUGGUUACAGGAGCCAAAGAUCUGGCAGAGAUAAAUAUGGCCCCCCUGUGCGCACAGAGUUCAGACUUAUUGUGGAGAACCUCUCUAGU